UUCCGGGCGUCACGUAACAGAGUGGCCAACGGCCUGCAGAGCAACAUGCCCAAGUUUUAUUGUCACUACUGCGAUACAUACCUCACCCAUGACUCUCCAUCUGUGAGAAAGACACACUGCAGUGGAAGGAAACACAAAGAGAAUGUGAAAGACUAUUAUCAGAAAUGGAUGGAAGAGCAGGCUCAGAGCCUGAUUGACAAAACAACGGCUGCAUUUCAACAAGGAAAGAUACCUCCUACUCCAUUCUCUGCUCCUCCUCCCGCGGGGGCGAUGAUACCACCUCCCCCCAGCCUUCCGGGUCCUCCUCGCCCUGGUAUGAUGCCAGCACCCCAUAUGGGGGGCCCUCCCAUGAUGCCAAUGAUGGGCCCUCCUCCUCUUGGGAUGAUGCCAGUGGGACCUGCUCCUGGAAUGAGGCCGCCCAUGGGAGGCCACAUGCCAAUGAUGCCUGGGCCCCCAAUGAUGAGACCUCCUGCCCGUCCCAUGAUGGUGCCCACUCGGCCCGGAAUGACUCGACCAGACAGAUAAGGAUAGAGGGGAGGCCUCAUUGUAUCAGUUUUAUAUUACCUGUUCUGCUUCACCAGGAGAUCAUGCUGCUGUAAUACUGAGUUUUCUAAACAGCAUAGGGAAGACUUGCUCCCCUGUCCUAUCAAAGAGAAUAGUUUUGGAGAGGAGAAGUAGGACAAAAAAGAUGCAGUUUUCAUUUAUAUUGGGAAAUGUGAAAAUAAAAUUGUCAACUCUAAAA